rnacentral:rRNA from 1 species
AGUGAACGCUGGCGGUAGGCCUAACACAUGCAAGUCGAACGGCAGCACAGUAAGAGCUUGCUCUUACGGGUGGCGAGUGGCGGACGGGUGAGGAAUACAUCGGAAUCUACUUUUUCGUGGGGGAUAACGCAGGGAAACUUACGCUAAUACCGCAUACGACCUACGGGUGAAAGCAGGGGAUCUUCGGACCUUGCGCGAUUGAAUGAGCCGAUGUCGGAUUAGCUAGUUGGCGGGGUAAAGGCCCACCAAGGCGACGAUCCGUAGCUGGUCUGAGAGGAUGAUCAGCCACACUGGAACUGAGACACGGUCCAGACUCCUACGGGAGGCAGCAAUGGGGAAUAUUGGACAAUGGGCGCAAGCCUGAUCCAGCCAUACCGCGUGGGUGAAGAAGGCCUUCGGGUUGUAAAGCCCUUUUGUUGGGAAAGAAAAGCAGCAGGUUAAUACCCCGCUGUUCUGACGGUACCCAAAGAAUAAGCACCGGCUAACUUCGUG